UACGGAGGGUGCGAGCGUUAUCCGGAAUUACUGGGUUUAAAGGGUGCGUAGGCGGCUGUGUAAGUCAGGAGUGAAAGUUUGCGGCUCAACCGUAAAAUUGCUUUUGAUACUGCAUGGCUAGAAUCAGGAUGAGGUUAGCGGAAUGUGGCAUGUAGCGGUGAAAUGCAUAGAUAUGCCAUAGAACACCAAUUGCGAAGGCAGCUGGCUAGACCUGUAUUGACGCUGAGGCACGAAAGCGUGGGGAGCGAACAGG
rnacentral:rRNA from 1 species